CUUAAGCAUAUCAAUAAGCGGAGGAAAAGAAACCAACAGGGAUUGCCCUAGUAACGGCGAGUGAAGCGGCAACAGCUCAAAUUUGAAAUCUGGCGCAAGCCCGAGUUGUAAUUUGUAGAGGAUGCUUCUGGGUAGCGGCCGGUCUAAGUUCCUUGGAACAGGACGUCAUAGAGGGUGAGAAUCCCGUAUGUGACUGGCUUGCACCCUCCACGUAGCUCCUUCGACGAGUCGAGUUGUUUGGGAAUGCAGCUCUAAAUGGGAGGUAAAUUUCUUCUAAAGCUAAAUACCGGCCAGAGACCGAUAGCGCACAAGUAGAGUGAUCGAAAGAUGAAAAGCACUUUGGAAAGAGAGUUAAAAAGCACGUGAAAUUGUUGAAAGGGAAGCGCCCGCAACCAGACUUUGCGGCAGUGUUCGGCCGGUCUUCUGACCGGUUUACUCGCUGUCGUGAGGCCAUCAUCGUCUGGGACCGCUGGAUAAGACCUUAGGAAUGUGGCUCCCUUCGGGGAGUGUUAUAGCCUCUGGUGAUGCAGCGCGUCUCGGGCGAGGUCCGCGCUUCGGCAAGGAUGAUGGCGUAAUGGUUGUCGGCGGCCCGUCUUGAAACACGGACCAAGGAGUCUAACAUCUAUGCGAGUGUUCGGGUGUCAAACCCCUACGCGUAAUGAAAGUGAACGGAGGUGGGAACUUUUUGUGCACCAUCGACCGAUCCUGAUGUCCUCGGAUGGAUUUGAGUAAGAGCAUAGCUGUUGGGACCCGAAAGAUGGUGAACUAUGCCUGAAUAGGGUGAAGCCAGAGGAAACUCUGGUGGAGGCUCGCAGCGGUUCUGACGUGCAAAUCGAUCGUCAAAUUUGGGUAUAGGGGCGAAAGACUAAUCGAACCAU
rnacentral:rRNA from 1 species